GAUGAACGCUAGCGGCAGGCCUAACACAUGCAAGUCGAGGGGUAGAGGAAGCUUGCUUCCUUGAGACCGGCGCACGGGUGCGUAACGCGUAUGCAAUCUACCUUUUACAGAGGGAUAGCCCAGAGAAAUUUGGAUUAAUACCUCAUAGUAUCUUUGCCUGGCAUCGGGUGAUUAUUAAAGUUCCAACGGUAAAAGAUGAGCAUGCGUCCUAUUAGCUAGAUGGUAAGGUAACGGCUUACCAUGGCAACGAUAGGUAGGGGUCCUGAGAGGGAGAUCCCCCACACUGGUACUGAGACACGGACCAGACUCCUGCGGGAGGCAGCAGUGAGGAAUAUUGGACAAUGGGCGCAAGCCUGAUCCAGCCAUGCCGCGUGCAGGAAGACGGUCCUAUGUAUUGUAAACUGCUUUUGUACGGGAAGAAACACUCCCUCGUGAGGGAGCUUGACGGUACCGUAAGAAUAAGGAUCGGCUAACUCCGUGCCAGCCGCCGCGGUAAGAC
rnacentral:rRNA from 1 species